CACGUAGGGCGCAAGCGUUGUCCGGAACUAUUGGGCGUAAAGAGCUCGUAGGCGGUCUGUUGCGUCUGCUGUGAAAACCCGGGGCUUAACCCCUGGCUUGCAGUGGAUACGGACAGACUAGAGGUAGGUAGGGGAGAAUGGAAUUCCCGGUGUAGCGGUGAAAUGCGCAGAUAUCGGGAGGAACACCGGUGGCGAAGGCGGUUCUCUGGGCCUUACCUGACGCUGAGGAGCGAAAGCCAGGGGAGCAAACGGG
rnacentral:rRNA from 1 species